rnacentral:rRNA from 1 species
GUCUAAAACGACUCUCGACAACGGAUAUCUCGGCUCUUGCAUCGAUGAAGAACGUAGCGAAAUGCGAUACUUGGUGUGAAUUGCAGAAUCCCGUGAACCAUCGAGUUUUUGAACGCAAGUUGCGCCCGAACCCAUUAGGUUGAGGGCACGCCUGCCUGGGUGUCACUAA